GAUUAACGCUGGCGGCGUGCAUAACACAUGCAAGUCGAACGAUGAAACUUAAAUGAUUUCUUCGGAAUGAACUUAAGUGGAUUAGUGGCGGACGGGUGAGUAACGCGUGAGUAACCUGCCUUACACAAGGGGAUAGCCGUUGGAAACGACGAAUAAUACCCUAUGAAACUAUCACUUCGCAUGAAGCGAUAGUCAAAGUGUUAGCGGUGUAAGAUGGACUUGCGUCUGAUUAGCUCGUUGGUGAGAAAAAAGCCCACCAAGGCAACGAUCAGUAGCCGGCUUGAGAGAGUGUACGGCCACAUUGGGACUGAGACACGGCCCAGACUCCUACGGGAGGCAGCAGUGGGGAAUUUUGCACAAUGGGGGAAACCCUGAUGCAGCGACGCCGCGUGAUUUAGAAGGCCUUCGGGUUGUAAAAAUCUUUUGUAUAGGAAGAAAAUGACAGUACUAUACGAAUAAGGUCCGGCUAAUUACGUG
rnacentral:rRNA from 1 species